rnacentral:rRNA from 1 species
GUGGGUAACCUGCCUUAUAUGGGGGAUAGCCUUUCGAAAGGAAGAUUAAUACCGCAUAAGAUUGUAGUAUCGCAUGAUAUAGCAAUUAAAGGAGCAAUCCGCUAUAAGAUGGACCCGCGUCGCAUUAGCUAGUUGGUGAGGUAAUGGCUCACCAAGGCGACGAUGCGUAGCCGACCUGAGAGGGUGAUCGGCCACAUUGGGACUGAGACACGGCCCAGACUCCUCGGGAGGCAGCAUG